AUGAGCUCCUCUUCGGGGGAACUCCGUCCGGAGAUGAUGGAGAGCGAGACGCCUCCAUCUGCCGCACCAUCGGAUAGGGCGGACGAGCCUGAAGUGUCAUCGCGGAGGGUAUCUCCGAGUCCAGCAGGGCCGAAUAGUUCGGCACCAACUGGUGUGCGGCCGGGGGAGCUGAAGGAUCUGCUUGAGAGGGCGUCCAUCUCAGAAGGUCACCGUCCACUGAUGAAUACGGUGAUUGAAAGAAUUUCAUCCGCCGAAGGCGGAUUGCGUGAUGCCGUCAGGAGUUUGCUGGCGGGGUUUGAGGUGGCGGAUAGUUCGGUGGCUAGCCGGAUUGAUGGAGUUGCCGAACUAAAGCGGCAGCUCGACGUUGCGUAUGCGGACAUCGCGCUGGUCAAUAAACAACUUGACGAGUCGCAAGAUGGUGCCGCUGCUGUGGAGAGCCUUCGGGCAGAACUUGCUCAAGCCAAGGAGCAAGCCAGAAGGAGUGAUGCGGCUGCCUCGAGGGCGGCCGAAGAGCUAAAGGCCGAAAGGGCUGCACCCUGCCGAAGCAGGGAGGAGAUGGCCGAAAUGGCCGUGAAGUUAAAAGAUGCUACCGGCCGCAAUGAGGUUCUUGAAAAGGAGCGCCUAGCGGAGCGAGGGGACCUGGGGAAGGCCACCGCCGAAGCCAAGGAUGCCCGUUCUGCAAUGCGGGCUAUAAAGGAGGAGUUGCGCCAGGCCGGAGACAUUGUGGCUGGCAAGCCCUUUCUGCUGCGCCGAAGGUUUACAGAUCCAAAGUAUGCUCAGCUUGGCCAGCUGUGGGGUCCGGAGGAUCCUUAUAUGGACUUAGCGGCGAGUGCGGCAGAUGUCGUUGUGCACUUCCGAAGUCAGAAGGAUCACAAGACGGAAGAGCUGUUUUGGUCUCAAUUCCAUAGUCCGGAGCGUUCACUUCCGCUGACCGAUCGGCUGGCCGAGUGGGCUGAGCUGAAUAGAUUGUCCGGACUUGCCAUGACGGAUAUCGUGACUCAUGUCUGGCCGGAUAGGCCCAAGCCGAAGAGUUAUUUUGGCUUAUUGCAGCAAUUUCUUGGGGCGGUGCCGCAUAUCAAGGCGAUGAAGCGGUCGACAUGCAUAGAGGGUGCACGGAUGGCCCUCGCCCGUGUGAAGACACAUUGGACAGAGAUGGAUGCCAUUGCUGUUGCGACCCAGGGUUCGGACGAGAGCCGGUUACCCGCCGAGCACUAUUUUGGGGAAGUUCUGCGUGGUGCUCGUGUAAUAGAGUCGCAGUGCUCAAAAAAUGUCACGUUCAAAUGA
rnacentral:rRNA from 1 species